GAGGAGGUCGCGGCUGAUUAGCUAGUUGGCGGGGUAAUGGCCCACCAAGGCGAAGAUCGGUAGCCGGCCUGAGAGGGCGCACGGCCACACUGGAACUGAAACACGGUCCAGACUCCUACGGGAGGCAGCAGUGGGGAAUUUUGCGCAAUGGGGAAACCCUGACGCAGCAACGCCGCGUGGAGGACGAAGUCCCUUGGGACGUAAACUCCUUUCGACCGGGAAGAUGAUGACGGUACCGGUGGAAGAAGCACCGGCUAACUCUGUGCCAGCAGCCGCGGUAAUACAGAGGGUGCGAGCGUUGUUCGGAAUUAUUGGGCGUAAAGGGCGCGUAGGCGGUGUGGUAAGUCACCUGUGAAAUCUCCGGGCUUAACUCGGAGCUUGCAGGCGAAACUGCCGUGCUGGAGUGUGGGAGAGGUGCGUGGAAUUCCCGGUGUAGCGGUGAAAUGCGUAGAUAUCGGGAGG
rnacentral:rRNA from 1 species